rnacentral:rRNA from 1 species
AGAGUUUGAUCCUGGCUCAGAACGAACGCUGGCGGCGCGUUUUAAGCAUGCAAGUCGAACGGCACGAGGCGCAAGCCUCAGAGAGCGGCGGACGGGUGAGUAACACGUGGAUAAUCUGCCCCUAGGUUUGGGAUAGCCUGUGGAAACACGGGGUAAUACCGGAUGUGGUUAUCUACACACAAGUGUAGGUAAAGAAAGGCGCUUUUUGUGUCGCCUAGGGAUGAGUCCGCGGUCCAUUAGCUAGUUGGUGGGGUAAUAGCCUACCAAGGCGACGAUGGAUAGCCGGCCUGAGAGGGUGGACGGCCACAUUAGGACUGAGACACGGCCCAGACUCCUACGGGAGGCAGCAGCUAAGAAUCUUCCGCAAUGGACGAAAGUCUGACGGAGCGACGCCGCGUGAACGAAGAAGGCCGUGAGGUUGUAAAGUUCUUUUCCGGGGGAGGAAUGAUCGUGGAAUUAACUAUCCGCGAGAUGACGUGAACCUGGGAAUAAGCCCCGGCUAACUACGUGCCAGCAGCCGCGGUAACACGUAGGGGGCGAGCGUUGUUCGGAAUUAUUGGGCGUAAAGGGUGCGUAGGCUGUGCAUCAAGUCUGGUGUGAAAUACCCCGGCUCAACUGGGGGGGCGCGCUGGAAACUGUUGUACUUGAGUACAGGAGGGGAAGUUGGAAUUCUAGGUGUAGGGGUGAAAUCUGUAGAGAUCUGGAAGAACACCGGUGGCGAAGGCGGACUUCUGGCCAUGUACUGACGCUGAGGCACGAAGGCGUGGGGAGCAAACAGGUUUAGAUACCCUGGUAGUCCACGCAGUAAACGAUGCACACUAGGGGGGGGGGCGGUUGCCCUCAGUACCGUAGCUAACGGGGUUAAAGUGUGCCGCCUGGGGAGUAUGCUCGCAAGGGUGAAACUCAAAGGAAUUGACGGGGGCCCGCACAAGCGGUGGAGCAUGUGGUUUAAUUCGAUGAUACGCGAGGAACCUUUACCCGGGUUUGACAUGGACUGGAACGCACGUGAAAGCGUGCGGCCCUUUGGGGCUAGUUCACAGGUGCUGCAUGGCUGUCGUCAGCUCGUGCUGUGAAGUGUUGGGUUAAGUCCCGCAACGAGCGCAACCCCUGCCGUCUGUUGCCAUCAAGUGAUGUUGGGGACUCAGGCGGAACUGCCGGUGACAAACCGGAGGAAGGUGGGGAUGACGUCAAGUCAGCAUGGCCUUUAUAUCCGGGGCUACACACGUGCUACAAUGGUCGCAACAGAGAGAAGCAAAGCCGCGAGGUGGAGCAAAACUCAAAAAAGCGGUCUCAGUUCGGAUUGUGGGCUGCUUCCCGCCCUCUUGUAGUCGG